ACCUGCCCGUAAGCUGGGAUAACUACCGGAAACGGUACUAUACCGGAUACGCAAGUUCCUCGCAUGGGGAGCUUGGGAAAGGCGGAGCAAUCUGUCACUUACGGAUGGGCCUGCGGCGCAUUAGCUAGUUGGUGGGGUAACGGCUCACCAAGGCGACGAUGCGUAGCCGACCUGAGAGGGUGAACGGCCACACUGGGACUGAGACACGGCCCAGACUCCUACGGGAGGCAGCAGUAGGGAAUCUUCCGCAAUGGACGAAAGUCUGACGGAGCAACGCCGCGUGAGUGAUGAAGGUUUUCGGAUCGUAAAGCUCUGUUGCCAGGGAAGAACGUCUUCUAGAGUAACUGCUAGGAGAGUGACGGUACCUGAGAAGAAAGCCCCGGCUAACUACGUGCCAGCAGCCGCGGUAAUACGUAGGGGGCAAGCGUUGUCCGGAAUUAUUGGGCGUAAGCGCGCGCAGGCGGCUGUUAAGUCUGGUGUUAAUCGGGGCUCACUCGGUCGACUGAACUGGCGCUGAG
rnacentral:rRNA from 1 species